rnacentral:rRNA from 1 species
GAACGAACGCUGGCGGCAGGUCUAGGCAUGCAAGUCGAACGGAUGACAAGGGAGCUUGCUUCCUGAAGUCAGUGGCGCACGAGUGAGUAACGCGUGGGAAACUGCCCUUCACUGGGGAAUAACGUUUGGAAACGAACGCUAAUACCGCAUACGCCCGCAAGGGGAAAGAUUUAUCGGUGAUGGAUGUGCCCGCGUUGGAUUAGCUAGUUGGUGGGGUAAUGGCCUACCAAGGCGAUGAUCCAUAGCUGGUCUGAGAGGACGAUCAGCCACGCUGGAACUGAGACACGGUCCAGACUCCUACGGGAGGCAGCAGCUAAGAAUAUUGGGCAAUGGAGGAAACUCUGACCCAGCCCAUGCCGCGUGAAUGAAGAAGGCCUUCGGGUUGUAAAGUUCUUUUAGUCAUGAAGAUGAUGACAGUAGUGACAGAAAAAGCACCGGCUAACUUCGUGCCAGCCGCGGC